rnacentral:rRNA from 1 species
CCCUUAGAUGUCCGGGGCCGCACGCGCGCUACACUGAAGGAAUCAGCGUGGCUCUGUCCCUGGUCCGAAAGGAUUGGGAAACCCGUUGGAUCUCCUUCGUGAUAGGGAUUGGGGCUUGGAACUGUUCCCCAUGAACGAGGAAUUCCCAGUAAGCGCGAGUCAUAAGCUCGCGUUGAUUACGUCCCUGCCCUUUGUACACACCGCCCGUCGCACCUACCGAUUGAAUGGUCCGGUGAAAUCUCGGGACGGCGGCUUGGUCGCUUGCGUCCGACUGCUGAAACUUGAUUAAACCAUAUCAUUUAGAGGAAGGUGAAGUCGUANCA